GGCCCCCCGCCCCACUUACCUGCGAGGGAGCCGGGCCUCUGCAGGGUGGCGGUGGCGUACAGCUCCUGGGAGUGCUUGCUGUACUGCUCGGCAGCGUGAACCAGCCGCUUGGUGGGCGACAGAGUGGCGAUACCCAACGGAGGAUUUUGGUGAGGAACUGAGGACAAGACAGAAAAGAAAAUAGUCAGAACCAUGCAUGUAUGAGGCUCAGAAUGCCAGAAACGUGCUCUUCCAAUGUACACCUGCUGGAAAUGUUUCCAUCCUUUGCUUUUGAUUUGGUCUUUAACCUUGGGAGCCCCAGAGUUGUUGUGGGGAUGGCCAAGAGGCCCCGGAGGAGCUCCCUCUGGCUGUUGGUGGCAGGGAAGCCACCAGCACUCAAAGCACUCAGACACCGCAAGGCAGCCAAACUACAUGGCUUCAGGAGGCUUCCCACAUGCAGGACAUCUCUGUAUCCUUACGGGUAAAUCUGAUGAAAGCCGUGCCCGUUCUGCAAUGUAAGUCCUAAGCGGGCAUGGGGAUGGCCAACAGAAGCAGUCUGCUCACUGCUGUGAGGCUGGGAGGUAAAAGCACCGCAGCACAAAUAGGUGCCUUGAGAUUGUUACAAAUGGCCAGCAGCUCCAAGUCACUCGCGUGAGGGACUCGUGACAAAACCGAGGGAACAUCAAAUAACUUUUAAGAGCUGCCUGCAUUCUGAGCUACUUACCGUCUUGAAAGAGAACAGAAGGGCUAACCUGAAACUGACUUCCCAGUAACGUAUUUGACAAGAACACGUUUUUCAUUUUCAAGGUUUAAACUGUACGGCAGCAUCUUCUAUAAAACAAAACCAGGCUGCCAAGAUUUAAGGCAACGUGUACAAAGCAAGGCUUGCACACGACGAAUGGCUGUUUGAACCAACGACGUUAUCCACUGCUGCUUGGUAAUAGAUUUUACUUUUUGAACGGUUAAAAUGGACCAACGUAAUAAGUUACUUUCUAAUAUUCAAAAUAGCUCCAAAAUACAAUAAUACAGACUGUUACCGGGGGGUUCCCAGCACACUGAUAACUUGGUUUUAUGGAUUUUAGGCAAUCCUUGUCAACAUGUGUGCAUUAUUUCUUUUUCUAAUCUACUUUUACGCUGCUUGACGUGUCAAGGAUUUAAAGUAAUUAAUUUCAAGUAAACCGAUAUUAUCCCAUAUUCCUAAUAAAUCUCUAUAAAGCUGUAGGCAUUCUGUAAGCACUAAUUCAAAAACCAGAAAUCCCACUCUCUGAUUGAUUGUCUGUUACAGGGAAAAAGAUGUAGUGGCGGACACAAGAAUGAAAUGCUUAAUUAAGAGCCCAGUGAGUAGCACUUCGUGGAAAGCCAAGCAUUUGCUCCGUGCGAAGGAGAGAACUUUGGAUGAACAGAUUGCAAGGAAACGUUAGCAUGCAGUAAUUUUGGAGAUGUGACUAAUCUCAGACCUGUCUUACAUUUAUUGUGAGGUUCUUAUUUUUUCCCAAAGGAUCGAAUACAUUUGCAUUCUCCGGUUGUGUUUUCAGAGGCAAAAUGCACUUUAGUUGUAGGUUUCUCCCUGCUUGUGGCUUAAGACAACAAUACGGGUACGUCAUUGUUCAUCCUGCGAUCCAACACUACGCUUCAGCUGGAAGAAUGAAAUACAAUGGUAUUUGUUCCGUUAUUUUUCCAUUUAUCCAUUACUGCUGUCAACCUGAUAAUGAAACUGUGUUUAAACAAAUAAAUUGAGAGCCAAUUUGCUUUCCAGUUGCUCUAUCCUCAUGCAUCAAUCUAUUUCAUGGACACGAAACAAAACAUCAAGGACUUCUUUCUUACAGCCCUGCAGAUACCUCUUCCGAGUCAUUUUUCUGGCAUCCCAAAGAAAAGGAUCCUGUUUUGCUUCUUUGGAUUCAAUGUAUGAGUUCCGUUAUAUCCUUUUUCAUAGCAGAAGUAUGUGAAAAAGCAUGAGAAUAUUAACAUAACGAUGAAAAAUAUUUUCUUGAUUAAUGUUACUGGCAAGAUCGUUUUCUACUGAUGCUGACCAAAGAAGAUCUGCAGACCUCUGUACGUUAAACUGCUGAGGGUGUCCAGGUAGAUGAUGGUAGACUGAUGGUCUAACUGAUGUUGGGCUGCCAGCAUUCAUGUUUCUAAUACACCAACUUUUAGGACACCCACUUGCCAUUUUUAUUUAUUUAUUUUUUAAUAAUUCAAUUUGAAGAAAACAUUUAAAUCAGAGCUUUACCUGAAAAAGAUGGAGUGAAAGACAGCGCAUUCCGUUGCACUGUCUUUUCACUGAAAUCUGUGAUUUCUGUUUUAUAAAGUGGAACCGAGAGGGACAAAUAACUGAAUUAUUUAUUCUGCUGGAAAUUAUUCAUGGAUAAGGAGCUACAAAUUCCUCGAUGCUUGGACAGCUUAAGCAACACUUUGGGGUCAGCUGCUGAUUACUGAAACGUCAGCAUGUUGUUUCUUGGAGGCUGCUCCCAGCGGGAAGAAAAGUGUGUAAGAGCAGCAAAAACUGAACACGAAGUCUCAGAGAAUCAAAUGACCAGUAUGGAUAUUUUAGCAGAUGCAGCAGAUGUGUUUUCUAUAAUCAUCUAAAAUCUCUUCAGGUUAUUUUUUCCUUAAGCAUGCCAAAAUGCAAAACCAAAACCUGGUAGAUUCUGUACAUCUAUACUACAUAGGUGCUAAGGAACAGAAUGUCUGUCAAUGCAGCUGGCUGAGUCUCAGAUAUAACUCAAAAGGCUUCAGAGUCAUUUCUUGGGAAUGAAAGAAAAUUUCCAGGAACAUGCUGGAAGAUUUGUGUCAUGGUACCAUUUAUCCUCAAGAAACUACAGUUUGUGCUCAGUGUCCUCUGUACUUCCCUGACUGAGAACAGAAGAAACUGAAACAUUGUAUUACUUUUGGGUAAGCCUGCAUGCCUAUUUCACCUUUGGAUGUACUUGUAUUCUGAAGAGUUUUUAGUACUUGGCAGGCUUAGGGAUAAAUAAACCAGUUUUCAGACUGUUUUGCUCUCUGGAGCUCUCAGGGAUUACGUAGCCCUUACAGUGUCAAACCCCAGCACGUCUCUUUGAGGCAUGGGUAUGUUCAGAAAAGAAAGGUUGCAUCCAGUGAUAAUGGACACCAUCACAGCACACCGUUGCCUGUGAGGAGAGCUUUCUGUUGAUUCUAGGAAGGACUUUCCAACCGGGUGCUUGGAUUGUGUGGAAGGCAUUCCUCCAGGCUGCUGAAACACCAUGGCUUCUUGAAUAUCAGUGGUUGUUGUCAGCUUUAGGCAGUAAACUUGACUGUCCUUAUCAGGGUUUUUGAGAGGCGCUGGUGGUCUCUUAAGUGUCCAGCUCUCUUAUAUAAUCCACAUGAUGUUCUGUGCUCAUUCAGUGACUGCAAGGCUUCCUCAGUUUAUUGAGAUUCCCUUUUGGUUUGUUUGUUCGUUGUCAGCUCAAAGAACUCCCCCAUAUGUCUUCACUCAAGGUAUCACCCUCUUCUGGUCCAAAACUUCCAUCAGCACUCUUCUGCAGAGGGCAGAAGACAUGGAAAAUACUUAACAUUCCCCAGUCUUCAUGAUACAGACUUCAGUCCUUUCGCAGAACCCGUGGGUGGAUCUUUCUUCUGCAGGACUGCUUUGCUGUCAUUUGUAAGUUCCUGACCUAACCAGGAAGAUACCAUCUAUGUUCAGAUGCACUUCUACGAUAACAGAUGCUGACUGUACCUGUGAAUCCUUUAACUGCGGCCUAUUUUAUUUUUCUCCCAAUUUCACCACAAAGGUCAUGAACAAUGCAAGGUCAUCUCUAUACAGUACUUCAAAGCAUACUCCAACACCAUGAGGAAAACGUGUCAGCCUACCUGGUCCUAAUCACAGCAGUUAGAUGAACUUGGCUAAUACCAUCACAGUCUUUACAUCAAGAAACAGAAUUUGUAAGAUCCUUUAGGCUGUCUAGAGAUGGCCAAGCUCUGGUUUUAAAGUAGCAUUACUGGAUGCAUUCAUUAACUACUGUAGGAUCAAACCACCAUGAUGCAGGUCUUUUUUUUCAUUAACAAACUAUUCUAGUGAAUUGUUCUCUGUGAAUGUUUGUAGUAAGAGUAAUCUGUCCUAAGAUUUCAUCUGCUUCCUUUACUUCUUGUGGUCAUGUUUGGAACCCAAUUUUAAGCCCCUCAUCAUCUGCCACACCCUACCAGAAGUGAAGUCCUUCUUUCAGAUUUUGCCUGGACAGAGUUUCAGGCUGCUCAUCACCUGACUCAUAGCAGGAAUAAACAUCUUCUAACUGAGAAUGUCCAGCAUACAGUCUUUACUUGACAAGUAAAUACAUUCUGGUGCUAUUUUGCCUACAUUCUAAAUAAGACUAGUGAGAAGCAGUGGUCUGUUGAAUAACUAACUUAUGACUUGGUCGGAAGAAAAUGGAGACAAGUUAAAAAAUUAACUGUUUCAAGGCUUUUUUUUUUUUUUUUUUUAUGGUUUUCAAAUUCUGUGCCAGCACGUCCAGGCGCUUUAGGAGCAUGGGAUAAUAACACAAUAGUGAUUAACCUUGCCUGCUGCCUUGACCUCUGAGAAGAACACGUGAUCAGCAGAAGCUAGAAAAAAAAAAUCUUCACCCAGAAAUGUUAAUUUGUUCCACUUCCUCUCCCUUCCCCUUGCAAGUACAUGGUAGAACAAGCUGAAAACCACUGUUUGCGCUCCAUGUGUUUUAUGUUCCUGUAAUAUCUACAAGGUAAGUUGACCAUUCUCAAGAUGACAAUAAACCCAAUUAUUUGUUCACAAGCUACGUAUUGUCCAAAGAGUGUUCACUCACUCAUCUGCAAAAUCUACUUUUUGUCACAAAACCCAUUACAGACUAUUUGCAAAUACCAUUAAUUGAUUAAUAUAGGGUGUAUCAGGAUAUGGACUCCAAGUUUAAGAAGCUGUUUUCAGCUGGGAAACAGAAUAAUUUCCUCUUUGAGGAGCAGUUGCUAAAAAAUUCUAUUCUUGUAGCAUUUAGAAGAUAGAAGUUUGGUGUUCUAAAGUAUUGAAAACAGUAGAAAAACUCUAUGAUCUAUGACAUACUCCUCCAAACUGACAAAAAUGUUAUAUUGUACUUUGCAGCUCUAUACAGGAAAUCCCAAGACUAAUUAGUUCCUGUUUUUUAUACAAUUGCAUUUUCAGAAAUUGUUCCUGCUGUCACAGCUGGCCUUGGGACUAUUUACAUAUUUUCCCACACAUUUGGGCUAUCAUUCAUGUUCAGAUAGCUAUAUUCCUUGCAAGAAAACAACAAAGGAAAUUAUCAUGAUCUGAACAAUUAUGACUCCUGAGGCUUAUUUUAAUUAUAAUAGGGAUAUAGCAAACCAAUUCCAAGGACUGACUUCUUUUCCCCUUAGUUGUGGGAUCAGCAGUGGUUGUAUUCAGUUUUUUAACCGAAUCUUUGUCUUCUUGCUUAACUCUAAAAAUACUUUGUAUCCUUUUUUUUUUUAAUGACAUUAAUUCAUAGUUCAUAUGGCUGUUAACAUUUUGAAGAUAUGUUUUAAUUAAAGUGAAGCUGCCAAGCAUCUUUUGAAAUAUAUUGAUACACACUAUUAUUAGUAUUUUCCAUGAGUUAUUUCUCUGCUGGAACACCUACCAGAAAAUCUGGAGAAAUACAGAAAGAAACCCUGUCUUCUGCCCUCUCAAACCAAGGAAAAUAAAAUAGAAAUGGUUACUUUAGUAACUUAGUGGUUACCUUACUGAAGGUAACCAGUUCCAUAUGAAUUAAAUGAUUAAUGCAUUUUUCAGAACUAAGCAAUGGCAGUUCAACGUAAUUUAAAUGACCGAAAUGUUGAUCACUGAUUUUUUCUCUCUUCGUAAAUUCAUCCUUUUCUAUCAUGAUGAGGAAAUGUAUAUUAAGAAUAUCACUAUUCUGAAACCCUGGGCAAUUGUACAUUUACACUUUCUCUUCCUUCCUCCUUUCAUUACUUUUUAUUUCUGUUUUUUAGAUUCUUUAUCCUUCCACUCUCUUCUUUUUUAUUUUGUUUCUGUUGAUCUUACAACCUGUUCCUUUUAUAUCAUCUUACUUCUUUUUUCAGCUUCCUUGCAGAAUGAAUCCCACCCUUUCAGGCUAACCGUGGGUGUGAUGCUUUUCACAAAGCACAACUCCUAAUGACAUCUGCCCAGGCUUCUACUGAGUAUUACAGCUGCCACCCUUCUUUCCAACUGGAGUCCUGCUCUCCUUUGCUGGCUCCAAUCCCUAACAGCAUAAGGGAAGGAGGUCUCUGGUAAACACAGAAAAGCCCCGAGACCUGGCCACUACACAAGCACAUUUUAAACCCUUGAUAGAAGUACAUACCCAAUUUGAAAUAAAAUUUAAUUGUGCUUUAUUUAAUUUUUCGGUCUUAGAGGAAAGAGGACUUUUCUGAGCAAAUUGGGUGAAUGGAAUACUGUAUGUCUCUUGGUAUCCCACAAGCUGUGUGAUGGCUAUAUAAUACUUGAAAUCUCUUAGCAAUUUAAGGCUUUGAAAUUCAAAUGCAGCUCACUUCCACUGAAUCUUGAAUUAUAAAAUGUCCCAGUGUCACACUGAAAUGGUCUGCUUUACCAUGGCAGAUAAGUUCUAAAAAGAGAAAAUAACCUGUGCUGACAACAUCCAGUCUGACUUUGCUUAUGUACAGAAGCAUGAAUACUUUGAGAAAUUUUGGUCUAACCUAAAGCUUAACUUCCCAGUGAGAGGCUUUAAUGUCAUGCUGAAAAGCACAGAAGAUGAGAGAGGGUUAUGUGGCAGAAAUGGAGAGAAUCACUCAGACUUUUCAUGAGUAUCUGAAACAAAUUUUAUAAAGUUUGAAAUGUACAUGUGGCUGUUUAAUAAGUGGUUCAUCUUAAAAUUCAGAGAAAAAGAAGCAAAAAGUGAUUCUUACACAUGGGAUUGAAUGACAGCACCAAGCUCUAAAUUGUGUCCCAAGCAGACUUUGCAUCUAGCAUAAGCCUGGCUUUGUUUUUUUCCUCUGGCAUGAAAGUGCUUUCUGUAAUUAACUGAUACCAACAUGGCAAGGUCCUAGACCUUAUCUGGGACUCCUCAGCAGCACAGAAUUUCAUAGUUAAAUGACUAAACAUUAUACCACCAAAUAUACAAGCAAGCAAGUAAAACCAGCAUGUAAAUCUCCUUUCUCAUCAGGAUUAUUUUGUUACCCUGAAAAUCAAGCCACUUUAGAUAUGUGAAAAUGACAGUGGUAAUUCAACCUCCUGCAAGAUGCCUCAAGCAAGACAAAAAGGCAAGCAUUGGAAGGCAAGCAGUUCUCCUUCCUAAGUGUUCCCCUGCAUGAUUUUGGGUGUAGUUUUGGGACAGUGCAAAGCAGAGAAGGGCACCUACCUGGCUGUAGCUCUGGACGGCACCUCUGGGUUGAGUGCUGCGGGCCGGGAGUGGGGCGGCUGCCGUCUCGCCCAGGGCAAGGGUCUGGUUGCUGUGGUAGCUGGCCGAGUACUGGAAGGAGCCUUCAGGCUUGGCAUUGAGCUGCAGAGCACUCUGCGAAAGGAGGCUGGGCCCUGCAAGGGACAGGUUGGAGCCACCGGUGAGUCUCAGGGAAAGAGCAUGCACCUGGUGGCACUUGACAUUAUCAUUGGUAUGCCACAUUUUGGCUUUUCAGUAAUAAAAAUCAGGGAAAUUAAAGUGUCUCUUUAUCACACAGUCAUCAGUCUUACACUGCUCAAGACACACACCACAACUCUUUCUUCUCUGUCUUCUUCAAGAAAAACAAACCAUCUGGUAAAGAAACCCUAAGCCAAUCAUACUAUUUGAUAAAGAAGUCACGUUUUUUCAGCUCAGAAUACUUAACAAUUUUUUUCCCCCCUGCAUAAGCCAUGUUUAUUUCACUUAGUUACACCCCGUUGGUCAGUAUGAGAAAUGCCAAUUUGUCCUUCCCCAUGCCCCAGCACAUGGCAUCUAUUGACUGUAGAAUGCACAUAGGGAUGCAGUACUUCGGUGCCUGUGGAGAUGGAUGACAGCUGUUAAAAUAUUAAUAGCUCCUCUCAUCAUGUUGGGCUCACCCUGAUCUCGGUGAAUUUUUGAUGACUGUUUUGUCAGCCUACCUUAUCUUUCCCAGCGCACAGUAGGAGAGCAGAGCACAGGCAGUGAGUUCAGAUGAGGGCUGCCAAACCAAAAGGUGCUUGUAGCGUCCAGAAAAUGAACACUGACACUAACAGCUGUUCUGCGAACCUAAGAUGUUCCCAUAUUCGUAGAAUCAUAGAAUCAUUUGAAAGAGACCACUAAGAGUCACCUAGACCAACUCCCUUGCAAUGAACAGGGGCACCUACAGCUAGAUCAGGUGCUCAUGGCCCUAUCCAGCCAGACCUUGACUGUCUCUAGGAAUGGGGUAUUCAACACAUCUCUGAGCAAUCUGUGCCAGUACAACCUGUUCAUUAGGUUUGUUAGUGUUGACGUAGCAUCACAAUGACAUAGCACACUCUCUGAUAUUGGCUGUGAGGGCACGUACUGGGCAGGGAGAGGCUUCUCACCCAGCCCUGUCAGCAUGGUUGAGACAGGCCCUCCCUCCCACUGCUGGUGGUGAGUUCCACCUGGCCCCACCCACAAAGGCCCCACACCCUAUGCCAUCUCUGAUCAGUGUCUCCUAGUCUUCCAAGAACCAGCUGCCUGCUAGCCAUGGUGUCUGAGUCCACCAAGGGUCCACCAGAAGGAGAAAUGACGAGGGUUACACCUUGGGCACCGCCCACACUACAGGGCAGUGUGGCUUCGCCCAAACAACUACAGUACAGUCUGUACAUAUCCAGCAGCUCCACAGGGAUGAGACAUUCAGGUUCUGGUCAGCACAAACAUGCUCAUAAGAGCACAGCAGGUGGCACAAAGCUUAAGGGAUGGGAAACGAUAACGUUGAUUUAGCUCUGAUGGAACACAUGAAAAGUUCAGUUUUAAAGAGAAUUACAGUGGUCAAUUUUCAGUGAAUUUUAUGGUAAAUAAUUCCCAAUACAUCUCUAAUACAAAUGCCAAAUUUUACAUCCUGUAAGUCUUUGCUAAGAGGAUGUACAGCUGCUCUACAAAGAUUUCCAUUUAAAAAAUGUGCAAACAGCCCUCCUCCUCUCCAAAAUUUACAUGGAAAAUAUUUUUUCCCCAGCUUGUUCCUUAGAAAUGGCAGACUCAUUAUAACUGACAUUUUUCAAAAUCCAACCUGAACGGCUCAUAUUAUUAAAAAAUAAAAUGGCAGCAUGCUGUAUAAUAGUGGAAGUGUUCACACUGAAGUGCAGACAGUGAUUAUGACGCUAUUUUAUAUAACAACAUAGAUUAAUUGCCUAGUCGAUCUAAUUAAUCAGAAUAUUCCAGGUAUAGGAGAAAUUAAGAAAGUAAGUUCUGCUCCUUUUCCUUUCCUCGCAAGUGCAGAAGGAGACAGCUCUGUAUAUGUUGAGAGGUUAUUAAAAAUGUAUCACAUACUUAGGAUAGUUGAAUUAAUCCCACAUGGGUGCUUAUAAAUCCAAUAUACAGUAGCUUUCUAUUCUGUGUCUCUGCAAAUAAGUUGUACUAGACGUUCUCCAUUUAACAGGCUUUGUUGCUGAUUUUGUUCUUUAAUAAAAGAAACAUUUUCAUAGAUUUAUUUAAAGAUCAUAAAGAAAAUACAGGCUUCGUUUAAAGAUACAUAUUUUAGACUAUAUGCUAAGCUUUCAGAUUUUGAAUUUUCACUGAAAAUUUGCCUGUGAUCAAAUGAUGUGAUUAAGUGCAAAAGAUUCAUAAGAACGUAAAUUUCUCAGGAGGCUAAAAAAGUUGAAGUGAGAAAGAAAUUUUUGCACAUGAAAGUGUUUGAACUCAUUCUUAGAGUAAUUAUGCUAUGACAUUUCUAAAGCUUAAAUAAUGAUUAAACUAUCACAUGCUAUGAACUCAAUAUGUUUAAAUUUUCAUUGCAUCUGGCUUUAAAGUGUUCCUUUCAUAUUACUAUUGCUCAUCAGGGGAUGUACAUAGCUAGCAUUGCAUACAUGGUUUCCCUGCACCAUUUAGCUUAAAUGCUUCAGUGGAAUUUAAGAAAUGUAUUCAAGUGGGGAAGAAAAAAGCAAAGAAGUUUGAAGCGUGCAGUUGUGAACUCACCAAAUACUGGACAAUCAUUUUUAUUUUGUAUCUUAACAAGUAGAAAUGAGCUAAUAAUUUACACACAUUUGAGUAAUUAAAAAUUCAUUUGAGAAAGACAGACAGAUAGAUAUUUACCUUCAAAAUAAACCCUCCUCGUUUCUCAACCAGAAAGAGAACUGUGGCUGCUCACCUGAAAAUAGCUAAGUCUAAAACAAGCAUGCAAACUGUAAGGUACAUUGGAGAUCAGAGUGAUCUUCAAAAAACACAAGUUCCUUUUUCAGGAUUUAGUAAGGCCUGUCUCGUCUGAUAGGGAAAAGACAGAUCACCCCUUCCAUCAGGAUUCUUCAAAUUUCAGUCUGAAGGCACAAAGAAACCCCCUGAAGAGCCUGCAGCUCACACAGAAAAGAAGAAAAUGGUUUGUUUGUGUACAGCUGUACACAGGCUUAUCGAUGGCUCUCCACAGCAAAAUACUCUUUCUACUCAGCAACAGUUUCAACUCUGCUGUGUCCUGUAAAUCAGCAGCAUGGAGAAGAUUAGAAAAAAAACAGAGGAGGAUGAUGGACAUGCCUACAACUGGGAGCCAACCCACAGUGAAACCUCAGAUGGAAUGGAGAGCAGAAGGCUUUGCCAGGAAUGAGAGAAGACAAAUGGGAUUUUCCUUCACAGUCUGGAAACCCAGGCCCUGGAAGGCAUGGCAGAGUUAGAAGAGUCAUCCAUUUGGAGAGUGAGGGAAGCAGAGAGGCUUCUUCUGAAGCUCUUUUCAUUGUAUUACCCACCCUUCUUACUGGCAGUUGUGUUACAGGUGUUUUCCAGCUUUUAAAGAGAUCAGUGCAACUGAUGGUAUGCUGACAUCAAAUGCUUAAAAAAAAGCCCAGCAAAAUCAAUAAAAAAGGUAUUUUCACCUUAAUUAAUUUUCAGCACAUUGAGCAAAAUAAAGCUUUAUGCUUUGUAGUUUUCCUACCGAUAAUUUCAUUAUUCCUGUGCCUCAUUAUAAAAGUUUGCAAACUCUACCAACUUUGACUGAGAAGUCAAUAAAAUUAAAAUAUAUUUUCGAGAAGUUCUGAACCAAUCUUUUCUGAGCUUGAGGGGGGAGAUUUAAACCAUCAUUACAUUAAUACAGUGUAAGAAAAUAGUAACAUAAAAUACUAAUUUAAUAUUCAGUCAGGGAGAUAUAAUUAUUAGCUGCCUUAACCCAAAACCAUAAAGCAAAUAACAAAGAUUUCUUUGCUGUAUUCCUCUCAUCACUGGUAGUCAUUUCAUCCUAUAUAUAUUGCAAAUGCUCCAGUACAACUAAGAUGACAGUUCUACUUCAUUCUAUUAGUGUUAUAUGAAAAAUCCUGUGUCACCAUGCAGCUAUAUAGAAUUUUGAUAUAAAUAUAUUUAUAUUGUCUUCAGAAAUAGAAAUUACUGAAGGAAAUACCUGGGAAGAAAAAUAAUGUAAAAAUGAGGAGACAAUGCCAAACAAACAAACAAUGACAACAACAAAAAAUUGAGAUUUCUUCAUGAAAAUAAAUAGACGUUCUUCAUGUUCAUCUUGAAACUGCUGGACAUAUCUUCUCUAAGUAUGUGCUACACUAUGCUCAAACUUUUUCCCUUAAUAGCUACCUAUGCAAGGAAAUAUUCCAGUAAAAGUUCCUUUAUCUCCCUAGGUAAGUAUGAACAAAGUGAAUGUCCACAGAGUUAUCUUGACUCCAGGUGAACUCAAACAUUCCGGUGAAUGUCUUCACUCAAGUUAAGAAGACAAAAGGAAGGUGCACACAGCGUACCUAUUUGGGGCCGCAUUGCAUGAACAGAGCACUCUGGGAACUCCACCUAUAUCUACAGCGUGGAAAAGCUCAAGAUUAUACGGAAUUGCAACUAUGCCAAGUUUCUACAAUCACCCAAGGAUGUCUCACUAUUCCCAAAAGUUUGUUUUUAGGCAUGGACAGAAAAAAAGCACUAUCUGAGCUACAGUAUGCCUAGAAGCACACAGCAAAUGGGGCCUUUGGGAGCCUCCAUUCGUUUAUCAUGUAUCUCAAGCAAAGAUAAAGAGAGUGGUUGUCCUCUUCAAGUGGACUGGCAGAGAUCCAAGGAGACUGGCUCUGUAGAGGCCACCAAGCUGCCGCAGAGCAGCUGGCACCAACAGAAGUGUCUAAACAAGGUGAGCAAUGCAUGGCCAUCAAACUCCUCACCCUGCAAUUUACAGGAGUCCAAAGCAGUUUUGGUGGCUUACAAGUGAACACUCAAAGUGACACUAAAUCUCACUUUUCUGGGCCAUGCUCAUAAGACAUAUUUACAUAAAAGUAACCCUCACUUGAGGUAACCCAGAGGGGAACACUUUGGGCCACUUUGGCUGAAGAAAUUCUGCCCAAGAUAUCCUUAGACAGUCAGAGGGUCUGAACAAAUACCCAAGGAUUGUCUUUCAAUGUAGGUGCCAGGGGGCAGCAAGGGCAGGCUGCUCCAUAGGGAUGGAGCAGGGGGCUGGGGUGGUGGCAAGGCAGAGACCUCUGGGAGUUGGGGAAAGGUCUCCAUCAGGACUGGGUCCCAAAACAGUGACCAUAGGCAGAACGUGAAAAUUCACUUUCUUUGACCCCCACAUGAAUAUAUUGGUGCAAGUGAACAUUAGGGCAUGCAGCUAUGUUAUUCAAGUCACAUGCAUUGAUCUUUAAAACAGCACCGCAGCAAAGACCCUUAACUCUUGGUGAGAAGGAGUACAGGACUUUAAGUCACUCUUUCGAUUAAUCACAGAGCCUGCAUACACACUUUAAGGGCAAACCCACACUGUUGUAUUCCUUUGAUUACCCAAGAAGCGUUCAUGUGCCUCUUUGUGUGGAGAAGUCAUUAAGUUUCCAGUUGUCAUUCAGUUUUUGAGGAAGUGCUGCAACUAUCUGCUACAUAAAAUGCUUCUUUCUAUUGUUUUCUAAAACAAUUUGUGAAAUUACAUCUAACCCUACUAUACAACAGCUAUAAAAGGACUUUUACGAGGAGCUGUAUCAGCUACAAUCUUUUCAAUUACUUUUGCAAUAGAGCCUCACAAACAUAGCUGUAUAUAAUUACAGGCAGAUACUGUCUCACUGAUUUUUAAAUUGCUAUUCUGGAAGUUCUCAUUUGUGGAAGGUGGAACAAAAAAGAUUCAGAGACAUUUCACAAAAAGCAUGGAGGUUGAGAAGCACUAACAUUUUGGUUCAAGCAAAGGAGCAACAGGUCUUAAAUAAUCAGUGUAUUUUCUUUCAUAUUUUGUAAAUAAACUAACCUUUGCUACCAACUGUCUGAGAAAAAAAAAGAAGAGCUAAGAAUAAAUCUGAUAUAAUUCCUAUCAUCAAUUACUACAGGAAAAGGUCCUGAUCGCCACCCAGUUCCAUACUAUUUCGUGGUUGCCCAAUUUAAAAUUGUCACAAUUUCUGACUGUAAUAAUGACCUCUACAGACGUGACACAGUAAAUCACACUCUAUUAGUCAGCUGUGGUAUCAACUCAGCUAUCAGAUCAACAACUCCUUUUUUGGUCCAACAAAUCUAAUUGAAUAUUUAACAACAAUCCUCAAAACUGUAAACAGAAACAGAACAAAACAAAAAAGUAAUAAAGAAAAACCUCCGCUCCUCAAAUCCCCCAAUACUUUACUGACCUUUCGUACCCUCUGAAUUUCAAAGAAACUUGUAAAACUGUUACAGAGUUCCUCACAGAUUACAGUGCCAGAAAACUGGCAUAGUCUCCUGUUUUCAGGACCUGUCUGGACGCCUACCUGUGCAACCUACUGUAGGGAACCUGCUUUAGUAGGGGGUUGGACUUAAGGAUCUUUUGAGGUUCCUUCUAAGCCCUCCAGUUCUGUGAUUCUAUGAAAACUAUUGGUUAAUUUCCACCUGUAUCAGAAAGUCUUUGCUACAAAUUCCUGCAAGGAAAGGGAAUCGUCUAUUUAUUUUUCCAGACAAAUUUUUAUAAUUCCCCAGGUUUUAGAAAAUAAAUAGCAGAAAUCUGAGGCUCUACGAUGAAUGUUUAGUAUCUGUUUUCAAAGAUACAGGGAAUUAUGCACAAAAUUUCCUUAAGAUCUCAAAACUGAUGCAGCAGUGUGCAGACAUGCUUUCCUUUAAAAGUGACUUCUUUUAAAUGUUCCAGCCUGUUUAUAUCCACUUUUCAUGCACUGAUUAUGUUCAGUAAUAGACGUUCUAUUUCUUCUUACUUAAGUGAGAUUUAAUGUUCAACGUGCUGCAGUAGUAUGAGCGCAGUGUAACUGCAGAGCAUGCACCUGCAGCAGUUUUGUCCAGAGUGCUGCUGAUGUAUUCACAAAGCAGGCAGCAAGGCUGCUAUUUAAUACAGAGAGCAUAAUAUAGUCCAUUUCCCGAUGGUUUUUAUCCUCACUCCUGAAGUAGUCAACAAGAGGAUGAAUUCUAACUGGUCUAGUAUUAGACAUGGAGGUUGGUGGCCCUGCAUUCAGUAGGGGGGUUGGAGCUUGAUGACCCCUGAGGUCCCUUCCAACCCAAGCCAUUUUAUGAUUCUAUGAAAAACAUUUACUGAAGAUUUGAUUGAACUUAGCCACCUGGAAACAAAACACUUGCUACUUAGCUUGCCAGAAGCAUCCAGUUUUCUUUAGUUUUGGUUUUGCCAUUAGUUUCCUGUGUGAUAAAGCAGAGAGAGACUCACAGAAAGCUUUCUGAAAUAUGCUGUGGAGAAGAAUUUGAAGGACGAUACAUUUGAAUCCUUGUGCUUCAUUUUAAACUUGGAAACAAUAAUAAUAUUAGAGAAUCUAGAAUUACAUAACUCCUAUUUUUGUUCUUCCACAGAUGCCCAUUUUUAUCUCCUGGGGCAUAUAGGGUACAGACUUAGGUAGACCCUAAUUCUGAAUCAAUAAAACCAUUCUCUUGUUCUUAUUUAGAAAAGCUAAAAUCAAAUUAAUCUAUUGUGCAAUUUCCCUUAAUUCAUUAAAUAAUUAAGAAAAAAGAUGAUGGUUCACAGAUAGGAGGAUUUCUGAUAAGAUAAUAAUGUAGUUUUUCCUGUUUGCUUCAUUAGCUACUUUUAUUUAGGUAAGGAGUUCAUUUUCAAACUGCACUACCUGAACAGGAGCACAGUGAAAAUUUUACUAUGCUUUCAGAGAGUAUCAGUUUGGAUAGCAUUGUACUAUUGUAUUUGUUCAGCCACAAUGAUGGAUCUCAUCAAAUCAAGCAUCUAAAUGAUAGAUUCAUACAAUCACACAGGAGCUUCCCUGAAAAUAACACCUUCUAUUUUAUGAUGUUGGCCCAUGACAUCAUAGGCAGAUGGUGGUGGUAUGGUGGUAGAUGUGAAGCUUUCCGCCAAUAUUCCAUUCCAUUUUGUUCCCAUAUGACAGAUGGCAGCAGAGGGGCAGUCUGACAGAAUGGCAUCUGACAUAGAAGUGAGGAUAAAGCAAAGGUGCGUCACUGAAUUCCUCCAAGCAGAAAAAAUUGCAACUAUUGAUAUUAUUCAUUGAUGCCUGGUGAGGAUUUUUGGACACCAAACAGUUAAUGUUAGCACAGUGAGGCAGUGGGUGGUGCAUUCCAGCAGUGGUGAUAAUGAUGUGAAAGACAAGCCAUGUUCCAGAGGGCCACACACACACACCACAAAAUGACGAGUGUCUCAAUCAGCUCAUAAGCACAAAUCGGCAGACUAUAGCCAGGAAACUCUGUACAGAACUGAAUAUGAGCUUCAAUACUUUGGAAAUGAUGGUGGCAAUGUUGUAUCAUAAAAUUUGUGUCAGAUAGGCCCCACUAAUAAUCACACAGGAACAGAAAGAACACUGUUGACUGUUUCCUGGAUUGCUUCAUUAUUGGUGAUGAGACAUAGUGUCACCACUAUGAGCCAAAAUCAAAAUGGCAGUGCAUGGAGUGAUGACGUGAAUUCACCAUCAAAGAAAAAGUUCAAGACGCAGCCCUCAACAGGUAAAGUGAUGUGCACUGUCUUGAAAGGGGAAGGGGAAAGGGAAGGGAAAAGGGAAAA